rnacentral:lncRNA from 1 species
CAGAGCUACAGGAAAAAGAGAGUGUGAAUGAAGCCCUGAAGGGGUCAGUGGAUGAAGGCCCUGUGACUUCUUCCAGUCACCAGUACCCAUCUGAUUCCCAUGAGCCUCCCAGCACCAAUGUUUUCUUGUCUGAGGAGCACGAAGACUUCUCUGCUCUGGUUGCAGCUACUGAGAACUCCCAUCAACAGGAGAAGAAAGCUCCAACAGGUCUCCCAGAAACUCAAAAAGAUCAGAAGGAUGAGGAAAGAGAUGAGCCAACAGCCCCCAGGGAGCUGCAGGAGGAGGAGGAAAUGGAUGAUGCGUGUCAGGAUUCUUUGGAUGAAAAGUAUUUGGCUCUUUCCAGUCACCAUGACUUGUCUGAC